AGUGAACGCUGGCGGUAGGCCUAACACAUGCAAGUCGAACGGCAGCACAGGAGAGCUUGCUCUCUGGGUGGCGAGUGGCGGACGGGUGAGGAACACAUCGGAAUCUACUUUUUCGUGGGGGAUAACGUAGGGAAACUUACGCUAAUACCGCAUACGACCUACGGGUGAAAGCAGGGGACCUUCGGGCCUUGCGCGAUUGAAUGAGCCGAUGUCGGAUUAGCUAGUUGGCGGGGUAAAGGCCCACCAAGGCGACGAUCCGUAGCUGGUCUGAGAGGAGGAUCAGCCACACUGGAACUGAGACACGGUCCAGACUCCUACGGGAGGCAGCAGUGGGGAAUAUUGGACAAUGGGCGCAAGCCUGAUCCAGCCAUACCGCGUGGGUGAAGAAGGCCUUCGGGUUGUAAAGCCCUUUUGUUGGGAAAGAAAUCCAGCUGGCUAAUACCCGGUUGGGAUGACGGUACCCAAAGAAUAAGCACCGGCUAACUUCGUGCCAGCCGCCGCGGUAA
rnacentral:rRNA from 1 species